AAUAAAGAACAAACUCGCAAGUGCAAAGAAAGGAAAUGGAUUCUCUCAAUACCAAAGCCGCCAACCUGGCUCUGAUACCAUGAGAUUUUAGAGAAUAGAGUAGGUAUUGAGAGAUUAAGAGAGAUUUAAUAAAAGAUUAGUGGAGUUUAAGAGAGAUUGUGGAAGAAAUGGAGAGAUUAUGUAUGAUCCAUGAUGAACAAGAGAGAGAGACUAGAGAGAGAGAAAC